rnacentral:lncRNA from 1 species
UUUGGCAUUGCCUCAGUGAAUGUUGAGGCUGAGUCGUGAUGAUAGAAGGAGUUUGGGAACACAAGGUUUGGAGGAGCAUUUAUUUGGGUCGAUGGUAGCGCAAUGGAUAAAUUUAGAUUAAGCACAUCGAGGGGAGUGGAUGAGGUUGCCAUUGUUUUUCGUGAUUGGUUAUUGUUUUUCUCUGAGUUUUCAAGAAGGAAUACAGGUGCGCUUCUCCACUAACCGAGUCAUGAUUUAAAUAGAAUUCUAAUGAUGAGGGAGCCAACCAUACUUCUGGUCUCCAGAGUGUUGUCUUUCCUUUUUCACUUUUUUCUGUCUGAUUCCUUCCCCUCUUGAGCAUUUUGCGGUCUUGCCACUUCAAAUGGGAGUAUUUCUACAUUUCAACUUUAAUUUUACCCUUCCUUUUCGGAUGCAUUGUGUUUUUUUUACUACGCUUUAAUGUUGCAGCUAUUAUUUUGUUCGAGUUUGGGAAGGUUUAAAAAAAUAAUAAUAAUAAUUGUAUUAUAUAUAUAUGUAAAAAGGAAACAGAGGAUUGCAUUAAUUUAUAAAUAAAAAUACAACAAUAAUAAUAAAUAAUUAAAAAAACAAUUAUAAAAUAG